rnacentral:rRNA from 1 species
UGAAGCGGGGAAGAGCUCAAGCUGAAAAUCUUCGGAAUUGUGGUCUAUAGGUGCGGACUCGCGCAGCCCCAGGUAUAAAUCCGUUCUUGGAAUUGGGUGCCAGAGAGGGUUAGAGCCCCGUCUUUGACUUGGGUAGCUGUGCGUGGCGAGUCUUUACCGGAGAGUCGGCUUGCUUGGGAAUGCAGGCCAAAAUGGGUGGUAAACUUCAUCUAAAGCUAAAUAUUGGCGAGAGACCGAUAGCGAACAAGUACUGUGAAGGAAAGAUGGAAAGAACUUUGAAAAGAGAGUGAAAAAGGGCUUGAAAUUGUUAAGAGGAGAAGUGAUUGGAGCAUGUCAUACGGCGUGGGGUUCCAGGGACGGGACUUGUCUUGUCUUGCACCAUCCUGCGUUGUUGGUCAGCAUCGGUUCUGUGUGGGGGAGAAAGCCCUUGGCGUUGAUGGCUUCGGCUUGAUCGUUGGGGGUGCAACCUUGGACGGGACCGAGGCAGCAAGUCUACGCUUGGCGGCCGGCCCCUUGCCCGCCUUUGUAUGCGUUGUACACCCUUUUGGCGUCUGCGGCGUAUGCUUGGGUGAUGUGUGGGAGCGCUGGACCUGUAGACUUAAGAUGUUGGCAAAAAUGGCUUCAAUCAGCCCGUCUUGAAACACGGACCAAGGAGUCUAACACGUAUGCGAGUAGUAAGGUGGCAAACCUUGGAUGCGCAAUGAAAGUAAAUGUAGGUGGGAUCCGCAAGGUGCACCAUCGACCGACCAGGAUCUUUUUGUGAAAGGUUUGAGUAAGAGCAUAUUUGUUGGGACCCGAAAGAUGGUGAACUAUGCCUGAAUAGGGUGAAGCCGGAGGAAACUCCGGUGGAGGCUCGUAGCGGUACUGACGUGCAAAUCGUUCGUCAAAUUUGGGUAUAGGGGCGAAAGACUAAUCGAACCAUCUAGUAGCUGGUUCCCUCCGAAGUUUCCCUCA